AUUGAACGCUGGCGGCAGGCCUAACACAUGCAAGUCGAGCGAGCGCCGGGCGGGUGAGUAAUGUCUGGGAAACUGCCUGAUGGAGGGGGAGAACAACUGGAAACGCUAGCUAAUACCGCAUACCAUCAGAUGUGCCCAGAUGGGAUGAGCUAGUAGGUGGGGUAACGGCUCACAUAGGCGACGAUACCUAGCUGGUCUGAGAGGAUGACCAGCCACACUGGAACUGAGACACGGUCCAGACUCCUACGGGAGGCAGCAGGGGGGAAUAUUGCACAAUGGGCGCAAGCCUGAUGCAGCCAUGCCGCGUGUGUGAAGAAGGCCUUCGGGUUGUAAAGCACUUUCAGCGGGGAGGCGUUACCCGCAGAAGAAGCACCGGCUAACUCCGUGCCAGCAGCCGCGGUAAUAC
rnacentral:rRNA from 1 species